rnacentral:rRNA from 1 species
AUUGAACGCUGGCGGCAUGCCUUACACAUGCAAGUCGAAUGGCAGCACGGGGCAACCUGGUGGCGAGUGGCGAACGGGUGAGUAAUGUAUCGGAACGUACCAUUGAGUGGGGGAUAACGUAGCGAAAGUUACGCUAAUACCGCAUAUUCUCUCCGGAGGAAAGCAGGGGACCGCAAGGCCUUGCGCUCUUUGAGCGGCCGAUAUCAGAUUAGCUAGUUGGUGAGGUAAAGGCUCACCAAGGCGACGAUCUGUAGCGGGUCUGAGAGGAUGAUCCGCCACACGGGAAGUGAGACACGGUCCAGGCUCCUACGGGAGGCAGCAGUGGGGAAUUUUGGACAAUGGGCGAAAGCCUGAUCCAGCCAUGCCGCGUGAGUGAAGAAGGCCUUCGGGUUGUAAAGCUCUUUCGGCCGGGAAAAAACCGCAUGGGCUAAUACCCUGUGUGGAUGAUGGUACCGGAAUAAGAAGCACCGGCUAACUACGUGCCAGCCGCCGCUGUAA